AACGAACGCUGGCGGCAUGCCUAACACAUGCAAGUCGAACGCCCUGGUUCGCCAGGGAGUGGCCCACGGGUGAGUAACGCGUGGGAACCUGCCCGGCAGUACGGGACAACCGCGGGAAACUGCGGCUGAUACCGUAUACGGCCUGAGGGCGAAAGAAUUUCGCUGUCGGAGGGGCCCGCGUCGGAUUAGGUAGUUGGUGGGGUAACGGCCUACCAAGCCUGCGAUCCGUAGCUGGUCUGAGAGGAUGAUCAGCCACACUGGGACUGAGACACGGCCCAGACUCCUACGGGAGGCAGCAGUGGGGAAUAUUGGACAAUGGGCGCAAGCCUGAUCCAGCAAUGCCGCGUGAGUGAUGAAGGCCUUAGGGUUGUAAAGCUCUUUCGCCCGCGACGAUGAUGACGGUAGCGGGAGAAGAAGCCCCGGCUAACUCCGUGCCAGCAGCCGCGGUAAUACGGAGGGGGCUAGCGUUGUUCGGAAUUACUGGGCGUAAAGGGCGCGCAGGCGG
rnacentral:rRNA from 1 species